rnacentral:rRNA from 1 species
ACAUAUUUUAAUUUUUAAUCAUUUUAUUAAAAUAAAUAAAAUUACAUUUAAAUCCACUUUCAAUUAAUUUUUACAAAUUAAUAUUCAUCUAAAUAAUUUUAUUGUAAUCCAUUAUAUUCUUAAUUAUAAUCUGCAUCUUGAUCUGAUUUAAAUUUAUAUAAUAAUUUUUAAAUAUUAAUUUUAUUAAAAAAUAUUUUUAUAACAACGAUAUACAAAAUUAUAAAUUAAGUAAAUUUAA